rnacentral:rRNA from 2 species
UUUAAUUGAAGAGUUUGAUCAUGGCUCAGAUUGAACGCUGGCGGCAGGCCUAACACAUGCAAGUCGAGCGGCAGCGAC